GAUGAACGCUGGCGGCGUGCCUAAUACAUGCAAGUCGAGCGAACAGACGAGGAGCUUGCUCCUCUGACGUUAGCGGCGGACGGGUGUGUAACAUGUGGAUAACCUACCUAUAAGACUGGUAUCAUCUCGGGAAACCGGCGCUAAUACCGGAUAAUAUAUUGAACCGCAUGGUUUAAUAGUGAAAGACGGUUUUGCUGUAACUUAUAGAUGGAUCUGCGCUGCAUUUGAUAGUUGGGAAGGUAAAGGCUUACUAAGUCAACGAUGCGUAGCCGACUUGAGAGAGUGAUCGGCCACAUUAGAAGGUGACCACCGACCAUACUACUACGGGAGGCACCAGUAGGCAAUCUUCCGCAAUGGGCGAAAGCCUGACAGAGAAACGCCGCGUGAGUGAUGAAGGUCUUCGGAUCGUAAAACACUGUUAUUAGGUACGAACAAAUUUGUAAUAAACUAGGCACGUCGUGACGGUAACUAAUCAGGAAGCCACGGCUAACUACGUG
rnacentral:rRNA from 1 species